rnacentral:rRNA from 1 species
UACGGAGGGUGCAAGCGUUGUUCGGAAUUACUGGGCGUAAAGCGUGCGCAGGCGGUUGUGUAAGACAGGUGUGAAAUCCCCGGGCUCAACCUGGGAACUGCAUUUGUGACUGCAUAGCUAGAGUACGGCAGAGGGGGAUGGAAUUCCGCGUGUAGCAGUGAAAUGCGUAGAUAUGCGGAGGAACACCGAUGGCGAAGGCAAUCCCCUGGGCCUGUACUGACGCUCAUGCACGAAAGCGUGGGGAGCAAACAGGAUUAGAAACCCUUGUAGU